rnacentral:lncRNA from 1 species
AGGAAACCAAAUGACCUGGCAGGCAGAGGAGGAGCCACCGUAGCAAAGUUUGGCCACGUGGUGGUCAGAGUAAGUAUCAGGAGCAUGAGGAGGCCGCUCGAGGAGAAGAAAUAAAAAAAACGAACUAGAGAACAUCAGCUUCUUCAUUUCCCUUCGUUAGCAGUUCGUGGCAAUCCUCCAUGAACCAAGCUCUGAGCCAUAGUUUUCCCUGAGAAGGUGAAGUAUCAGGGGGGAAGAGAGGGAGCCAGCAGGGUCUAGGAACUAGGAAGGAGAUGGUGCAGCGGGGAGAGGUUGAUGCAGACGGGGAAGAGGGCCACACCGGCCCCGUUCCAGGCGUCAGAUCGAGGCGGCGGCGGCGGCGGCGAGAGGCUUAGGAGGAAGAGUGGAUUAAGAGACCAAUAGAGCUGGAGAAAUUUCUUGAGGUCUUAGGCGACCAAUUCCCCAACCAAAUUAUGUCACCCCCAAAUCCUCAACCAGUCAGGUAAUACCUUGUACUAGGGAGCACCACGAAUCUUAAUAAAUUGAUUCCUUGCUUGCUUGUUGGCUGAUCUGAUGUUUGGGUAAGAAAGAUAGGACUACGAUUGGCACAGUGUAUCUCCAAAUUUCAUAUAAUCAUAUGAUUUAAUAGCAGCCAUAAUUCCGUUCGUUCGAGUUGCAUAUCGAAUCCGUGUAUAUGUACAGCAUACACACACGCAAAAGGUUCAGAUUUAGGCCUUAAUAAACAAGAGAGUUAUUAGAGCAAUACCAUAUUCCAUUUGGGGAUGCGGAGAGAUGGAGUUAGUUACGAUAAGUUUAAGUUCUACUUGCUUUCAGUAAGAGGGGGGAAGAGUACACUGUUAAAUAGUUCAGAAAUAGGCUAGAGUAGUGUAGGUUCUGUUUUAUCAGGAACUGGAGCCAUAGGAUUUAAAUCCCAGAUUUUAAGAACUGAACCACAGCGUAGCUCAAUUGUCUGGUUUGCACAGCACAGGGGCAUCAAAUGUUUUUACAUGCACCUAACUUGUUACUAGGCAUCCAUAGGAGUUGGUUAGCAGAGUGAAUCUUAAUUUAAUAACAUGUAAUAGGCUAAACUUAACAAUAGGCAUCACUAUCCUGAACUAGUUAACCAAAAUUACUAGAGGUAGUAGAUCAAUGCAUUAGAACACGACAGAAUAGCCACGCAAGUGUAUUUCCUGAAGAAAUAAUAGUAGUACAUUACCUUCAAGUGCUAGCUGCUAGUAUAUAUGAUUGUCUGUUUGGACAAAUACACAUGCACAAAUCUGAAGUAAGAAAACAUACUUAAGCACCCAUUUCUAAUAUACCCUGGGAAUUAUGCUGACUGCUAUGCCAAAGAAUGCCUUGUUUGCAUGCAUGUUUGGUCGAGUAGACAUAAAGAAGCUAAACUGAAUCUUAUUGUUUUUAAGAUCAGGAUGGGUAGAAUAAUAGGGGUUAUCUUACAUAUAUCUGAAAAUUCAUUAAGGAUUAAUACCUGAUAGUUUAGACUCUGUUUGAGUAUUGCUGAAAUGAAGCCAUGCAAGAUAAACUAAGUAACCUUGACUGAAUAGAAUUAGUUAUUUGUGCUUCAUGCUUGUGCAUCCUGCUUCAUGCUUGUCCUCACUGGACUUUGUUGGCAAUAUUCCAGUUAAAUCUGCUUUGGAGUUCUUCUCGCUACUUUGAAGUUAUUACUGCUGAAUCGACCCUUCGUUGUAUUCUGCUUGAUCUUCCGGGUAUCUCAGGCAAGUCCAGUUCUUGUUCAUAUCUGAUGACUAUGUUUUAUCAAAGCUUUGCAAUGUAUUCUAUUGGUAUCACCUGCAUCAAAAGAAAAGUUAUCUUCUAAAUAAUAUGACCUGGAUGUUGUUGAUUGACUGAUGGAGCAGUCGAUGAACUAAUAUGGCUGGAUGAACUAAUAUGGCUGGUAGCUCGAACCCUGUUUGGAGGCUUUCAAGCCUGGCUUUCAUGCCGUGGAAAGUGGGUUCGACUACAAAGGAUAUCACCUUAAGGUUUAAUCAACAACGGACUACUUGUACUCGAGCGCCGUAGUGACCUCGUUGACCACAUGACCUUGUAUGGGCGGGGCUAAGCCGAAGUAAUGCCAUCUUAAUGUCCUACCUCCCUGGGAGCAGUUGGGGCGACCUCUACUAUAGGCGACCAAUUGCGAUAGAAUGAAUGACAGUUGGACUUUGACCUCUACUGUAGGCUACCAACUUGUCAUGGUGGGUAGCUGGUGUCUGAGUUCGCCGGCCAGCUACGUUGUGAGGUAACGGCAGAUGGGGUGGGUGAAAAGGCUCUGUGUCCAUGGGAGUGUUAUCCCCUCGAUGCAUGACUAUGGGCGUCUGUGGGUAAAGUAACGCACCUCUGCAGAGUGUAUUGAACCGUGGCUUGUCACUCCCUGUUCCGGGUAGGAACUGCGAUCGCGGCAGGAAAGGAGUCCAUUGGGGAUCCUAACAACCCGUGAGACAAGGAGAUCAGAGAUUUCAAAAUAUAACAACUUGACUCUUUUCUCAGAAAUAUUUUCAAAAAUCAUUGCUUAUUGGGGACCAUGGGUCCUAGUAGAACGUAGUGCAUUCAAACACAUGUUGCUAUCCUGGACUUGUUGAGUACCUUUUGUACUUAUACCCUAUAUAAACCUCCUUUGUAUAGGUGACCAACUCUUAGGACAGCAAAGGUGUUCCGUUUCAUGAUGGAGGCCAGGUGCACCAUGUAUCUUCGGAUGGGAACCAAAUUCAGGAACUCAAUCAUCACAGUGUUAUAUGGGUAGUGAAACAUUUAGAAGUUGAGUAAUGAAGCUGUUGUAAGUGUUGAGUUGUAUUUUGAUUUGUAAAGGUAAUUCUAAUUAUUCAUGUAUCGAAUCCACUGCAAUUGUUUCUGUUUACUACUUUGAGCGGCAUAUUACUUGAGAAAUUUCACUUCACUUGUAAUAUGUCGGAGAUCUGCGUGCUACUGGUUUAGUGGCAUGUCGGGUCGUGACAUACACAAAUUCUCAGAAACAAAAUAUUUUGGCAAGAGGUUUUUAGCUGAAGC